GACGAACGCUGGCGGCGUGCUUAACACAUGCAAGUCGAACGAAGUGGCGAACGGGUGAGUAACGCGUAAUCAACCUGCCCUUCAGAGGGGUACAACAGUUGGAAACGACUGCUUAUACCGCAUAAUGAAGGAGGAGAUUCCGUCUGAUUAGCUAGUUGGAAGGGUAACGGACAACCAAGGCGAUGAUCAGUCGCCGGUCUGAAAGGAUGAACGGCCAAAUUGGGACUGAUAAACGGCCCAGACUCCUACGGGGGGAAGCAGUGGGGAACCUUCCGCAAUGGACGAAAGCCUGACGGAGAAAUGCCGCGUGAGUGAGGAAGGUCUUCGGAUCGUAAAACUCUGUUAUUAGGGAAGCGGUACCUAAUCAGAAAGCCACGGCUAACUACGUGCCAGCAGCCGCGGUAAUAC
rnacentral:rRNA from 1 species